rnacentral:lncRNA from 1 species
UGAACCUGAUAUAAAGUUUUCUUCCAGGGAAGAGAGCGUCCUCCUCACUGCCAGCACCUGUCAGCUCUUCUGCCAGGCGGUGAUGCGGUCACCACUGCCUAGGGUGCUCGAAGUCCUUCCCCUGCUGACCUCAAUGGCACAAGUGCCAGGAUGGAUCAGAAAGGAAGGGAUGGGAAGGAAGGAAGGGAUGCUUACAGCUUAGACCACAGAAGGUCUGGGUCCUGCAAGCUCAUGUCCUCACUGUGUCUACUAACGACCAGCACUUGCUAAUGUAAAUAAUAGUAAAUUAUUGAGAAUUCUAAUUCUUUUACACAGUCUGUUUUUAAUCUAUUUUAAUUAAAUAAAAAUCUAUUGUUC